rnacentral:rRNA from 1 species
UACGUAGGGUGCAAGCGUUGUCCGGAAUUAUUGGGCGUAAAGGGCUCGUAGGCGGUCCAUCGCGUCGGGAGUGAAAAGCUGGGGCUUAACCCCAGUCCUGCUUCCGAUACGGGUGGACUAGAGGUAGGUAGGGGAGAUCGGAAUUCCUGGUGUAGCGGUGAAAUGCGCAGAUAUCAGGAGGAACACCGGUGGCGAAGGCGGAUCUCUGGGCCUUACCUGGCGCUGAGGAGCGAAAGCAUGGGGAGCAAACAGG